rnacentral:rRNA from 1 species
GAUGAACGCUGGCGGCGUGCCUAAUACAUGCAAGUCGAGCGAACAGACGAGGAGCUUGCUCCUCUGACGUUAGCGGCGGACGGGUGAGUAACACGUGGAUAACCCACCUAUAAGACUGGGAUAACUUCGGGAAACCGGAGCUAAUACCGGAUAAUAUAUUGAACCGCAUGGUUCAAUAGUGAAAGACGGUUUUGCUGUCACUUAUAGAUGGAUCCGCGCCGCAUUAGCUAGUUGGUAAGGUAACGGCUUACCAAGGCAACGAUGCGUAGCCGACCUGAGAGGGUGAUCGGCCACACUGGAACUGAGACACGGUCCAGACUCCUACGGGAGGCAGCAGUAGGGAAUCUUCCGCAAUGGGCGAAAACCUGACGGAGCCACGCCGCGUGAGUGAUGAAGGUCUUCGGAUCGUAAAACUCUGUUAUUAGGGAAGAACAAAUGUGUAAGUGACUAUGCACAUCUUGACGGUACCUAAUCAGAAAGCCACCGCUAACUACGUG